AACAUCUGAGAAAUACCAGGAGCUCUAGGGACGUGUAAAGCCAUCUUGAACAAUAUUUAGAAGUAAAUACUACUAUGUAUAUGAUAAAGAUUCAAUUACAAAUGAAUUACUAGCUAUUUAUUUAAAAUUUAGAGUAACUUAAUCUUAAUAUUUAAUGCCGCAAUUGACAUAACAAAACAUGCGGAGAAAGUAGAAAUUCAGUUGCAGUUAGAGUCACAGUGAGGAAAUGUUGCCGAAACUAAUGAAACUUGUAAUCACAACAUCUGUAGAAAGUAGGAAAUAAAAGAGAAAGUACAAAUUUUCUAAUCACAAAAAAUUUGUGUUUGAUUUAAAAUAUUUUCAACUGUUUUAAUUUAAAAAAUUGACUAGUGUUUUAUUUAUAAAAAGAAAAUUGGCAUCUCAGCCCUGAAGCAGAAAUAGUGCUUGUUUGUUUCGAUUUUAAUUUUAAAUUUCGAAAAGUUGAGGCGGGAUUACAAUUCCGAAACUUUUGUAACAUUAUUAUAUUCUUUUCUUGUUUGAUAAUUUAUGAAGUUGGAACGUAAUGAAAUACAGUGAUUACAACCUCAGAGAGUUAUUGGAAUUAGCUCUUCGUGUACCUGAAAUAGGGGCUGUGAAUUUCAAUAUUUUAUAUGUAAUUUUGAAAACUAUUAUUCAUGUUCAAAAUAUUUGCGAAAUAAAACCAGAUACCAUUUUCACCGAUUUGUUUUAUGAUGUUGACGAUAUUUUGAUGAAAAAACUACGUCUGAAAGUGAAAGUUCGGUUCAGAAGCUAGAUGAUCAUCAAAGUCUUAUUGACAAGAUACAGGUUCUUGAAGAAGACUA